GAAGAAAUAAACAAUUGCUGUUACAGCUGCUGUGCUGCAAAUUCAGGGAAGAAGGGCAACUCUCAUUGAAUGCUGGAACUAUAUGACAAGACCACCCAACCGUGCAGCCGUUUGUUUGGUAGCUACACUAAUAAAAAACUAGAUGGUGGAAAUCUGAAUGGUCACCGUGACAUUUUGAAAUGGCCUAUAUGUAUCACUCUACAAAGGAGAACCAUAAAUUGUCCAUGUUGUCUAUUCAGAAGUAGAGAUGGGACUGGUAACAAAAUGUUAAAGUUUGGAGCGCUGGAAACCUGCUGUGCAUGGAGCAUAUGGGAUCUGCUUUAGAGAGGAGCACAAUUUAAGUCAGUUCCCAACACUGAAAGGAAUAUCUCAAAGGAAGGUGACAUAGCCCAUAGAGCUGGCCCUACCAUUAGGAAGAUUAGACUGCAGAUGCUGAGUGGAACAGGGAUAUUGGUAAGGUACUGUAGGACAAGCCUAUGUGUGCCAUGCAUCAUCUAAGAUUCAAAUGCCAGUCUGGUUAUCUUAGGAGCACCAGAUUGGCUCCACCAGGGUGUUUGCCCCACACCGACCUCCCCACCACCUCACCCCUUCUUUUCCCAUUAAGCAGCAGCUACUCAGCAGUUGGGAGGUCAGGUCAGCACUCCCACCCCACUCCACCAUCCACUAAUUCUACAAGAUCUGCCACUCAGGGCCUCCUCUCAGUCCCGUCAACUAAAGUGAUUGGGUUGGUGAGGACUCGAGAGAGGGCCUUCUCUGUGGCGCCCCCCACGAUUUGGAACUCCUUCCCAAUAGAUCUUCGACAUGCCCCUUCCCUAUAUAUAUUUCGCCGGGGCCUGAAGACUUGGCUUUUCCAUCAGGCCUUUAUGAACUUGAGACUUCUAAGGUGAACUAGCUUCAGAAUUGUAUUACUGACAACUCUAA